rnacentral:lncRNA from 1 species
UAGAAGAAUUCCAAUACCUAGUAGCCUGUGGGACAAUGUGCAAUCUCAUUAGUAUUCAAAGAGCAGUAAAUUAAAAUCGGGAGUUACUGUUUCUUGAUAAUUAACAAACGUAAUGCAAGUGUGAACAACCAAAGCUGGUGAGGAAGCAAACAAGAGGAAACACUUUGAGAAGCAUUUGUCUAUAGCAGAACCCUUUAAAAGUUUAUUUUUCUCAGUAAUACUACUUGUUGAGAAAGUAAUCUAUCUUGAGAAAAUAAACCCAGAUACAAAAAACAUUUUAUGCCCAAAGACAUACAUCAAAACACUACUUAUAGUACCAAAAUAUUGAAAACCAUGUCAAUGUCCACUCUACAUGAUAUAACUACUUAUAGAUAAAUCAGUUUGCAAAUGUCUGUUUCUGCCUUUCCUGCAUGUGUCAAUGCGCCGCAUACCAGCCCCCAAAACAGAGCCGUCCCCACGCCACCCUGCAGACCUUCCCUCCGCACUCCUGCUUUCUUCCCUUCCCAGGAGGUUGUGUUGCAGCCCGAGCCUCCCGGGGUGCACCUGGGCUCUGCACGCAGACCUCCGCCUUCGUCUGUGUCUUGUCUUUCACUGAAACUCUCCGAGAACCCCCCAAGUUUCUACAUUGUGUUCUAGGGUAACAGUACUGACAUGGUUUAGAUGUAACUCAGUAUAGCUGGAAAGACCAAAGCAAGUCUUAUGAUAAAUCCUGCACAACUGAGAAAUGCAAAAUUGAAAAUAAAGCCCAACUACCCAAUACAAUAUGAAAAGUUUUUAUAUCAUCUUACAUUAAUCCUCUUUUAUUUCAUUACAGUUGACCCCUGAACAAGGGUUUGAACUGUGCAAGUCCACUUAUAGAUGGAUUAUUUUUCAACCAAACUCGGAUCAAAAAUACAGCCCCCCAGGAUGUGAAACCCAGGCAAAUGGAGGGCAGACUAUGUGGGUUCUGUAGGACUUGAGUGUGUGAGGAUUUGGGAGCACACGGGGGACCUGGAACCAAUCCCCCAUGUAGACCGAGGGAUGACUGUAACUAUUUUACAACUGACAAUAGAAAAUUGAUGAUUGCGAUAGUAAUAUAAAAUCAAUUUGAUAAUAUAAGGUAAUGUGAUAUUUGUGACUCUGCUAUCCAUUCCAAUAAAUUAUAUCUCUGUGUAUCCGCGUGUGAAGCAGCUUUCUCCAUACUUAACCUGCACGCUUCCUGUUCUUCCUGAACUCCCUGUGUGAACAGUAGGCUCCCUCUGCAGCCCACACUUUCACACUCAGGGACCCAUCAGUUACAUCACAGCUUUCUUUCGUCUUUUGCAUCUGUGGUUUGAGAUACUUCUGCCUUGCUAGUUUUUUGCUGGAAAUAAGUCUUGCUUGGCUACCAUCUCAGCCAGGAUAAUUUAACUAUGGAGCUUCUUGAAUUUGUGUUCCCAUCCUAAGCAGUUAAACAGCUACACUGAUAUCUUAUGGCAAAUAUACCACUGUCCUCAGAUGUCCAACAAACUGAAGCUGACAACGCAUCCCUAAGUCACAUCUGACAGGGCGCAUGUGGCGCGCAGCUGCAGUUCCUGGCAGGACACCCAGGUGUGCUUCAGAGUCUUGGAUUCCGAAGCCACUCUGCAGAGCCUGUGGUCCCUUGUGAGCUGUUACAGUUCCUUACUCAUUUUGAGGGUCCUCUUAGCCACAGGCAUUGUUAGAAUAAUUUUGUAAGUACAAGUAUAAUCCUCUUCUUCCCAAAGACUCACAAGUCUUAUUUUGACAACUGAGCAGUAACAGUGAUGAAAAACAUUACUUUUUUUUAAGCGUAUCUAGAAAUUUACUCUGAGAGGCUCAAAACUUUAGUUUUGGAAAGGGGAUAAUCGUUCUCACAAUUAAAAUGUAUUAAAACAAAACAAAAACAAGUCAUGGAAUCUGUCUCCCGCUUUUCAAAAGUGAUGUGAGUUCCCUGAAACAAGAUCGGUGAGUGCCACAUCCGCCCCAGGUGACACACUCGAAAGCAGGGUUCCCAGAACGUGCCAGCCUCGGUCCCAGCGAGAGGUGGGAAGCUCAUCCUGCAGUGCCAGAUCUUUCACGAAGUGCGUUCAUGAGCCUGAAGUCAUGGAGAGGGUGCCAGCUUCCAGGACUCGGUGAGUGUGUGGUGGGGGCCGGCGCCCUGUCCCCAACCCUUUCUCACAGCCCAGUGCUCUCACCCUCAGUCCCGACACCACAGAAGCCACUGUGGAGGGGCCAGGCCAGCCACACAUCCAGGAAAGGAGAGCUAGAAGGCCAAUAGCUUAUCUCUGCAGGCACGUAUUCAGAUCAGGGAAGUCACUCAAAGGCAUGAGAUGAAAGGGAGGAAGCAGGGAGCAUGGGUGGGCAUCAUGCAAUCCAUCGAAUCCUGCCUGAACAGGACAGAAAGGCAGAGGAGGGGACUUCACCCUGGUAUUUGUCUAUCUGCCUCUUUGAGCUGGGACACUAGUGUUCUCCUGCCCUUGGGCUGGGACUUAAACCAGUACCCCCCAAUUCUUCCCCCAUUCUCAGGCCUUUGGACUCAGGCGGGAACACCACCACCAGCUAUCCUGGGGCUCCAGCUUGCAGACAGCAGAUCUUGGGACUUCUCGGCCUCCACAACUGCAUGAGCCAAUUCACAUAAAAAAUUUCAUCCAUCCAUCCACCCAUCCAUCCAUCCAUCUCUCUCCCUCUCUAUCCAUCCAUCCAUCCCUCCUUCCCUCUCUCUCCAUCCAUCCCUCCCUCCCUCCCUCUCUCCAUCCAUCCAUCCCUCCCUCCCUCUCUCUCUCUCCAUCCAUCCAUCCCUCCCUCCCUCUCUCUCUCUCCAUCCAUCCAUCCCUCCCUCUCUCCAUCCAUCCAUCCAUC